GACAUACUCUUGCAUGGAAAGCCAACACAAGGGCUUCAACCCUGCAGUUGUACCACAGCAGCUCUGUUUGGAUGAUAUUGUCACUCACACUUUGCUGGAAGGACAAGAUGAAUCACCGUAGACUCCAUUGACUGUAUUGACGGACUUUCCAUUGACUAGCAACGGAGCCACAGAGAGACGCUUCUUCAAGGCGGUCUGCAGCAUGG